GGACCCCUAUGGGGUGGUGCUCAUCAUCGCCCCCUGGAAUUACCCCAUCCACCUCUUCUUUGUGCCCCUCAUCGGGGCCAUCGCCGCUGGUAACUGUGUCAUUGUCAAACCCUCGGAGACGACCAAGAACAUCGAGAGACUGGUGGCUGAAGCCCUGCCCUGCUACCUGGACAAUGACUGCUUUGCUGUGGUGACUGCCGGUGUGGAGGAAACCACCAAACUGCUGGAGAACAAGUUUGACUACAUCUUCUUCACUGGCAGCCCCUCC